rnacentral:ribozyme from 1 species
GACAAAGAAACACAUGAUCACCAAUAUUGAGUGGAGGCGCUCCCAAAAUAUUCCUGAGCUUAUGAAGCAAGACCCGGAAGAUAUAUUGGGUUGCAAGCUGUCUGACCUAGUGACCCAUUUUCCUCA